AAUCCAUAGGUUAAUGAGGCGAACCGGGGGAACUGAAACAUCUAAGUACCCCGAGGAAAAGAAAUCAACCGAGAUUCCCCCAGUAGCGGCGAGCGAACGGGGAGGAGCCCAGAGCCUGAAUCAGCAUGUGUGUUAGUGGAAGCGUCUGGAAAGGCGCGCGAUACAGGGUGACAGCCCCGUACACAAAAGCGCAUGUGCUGUGAGCUCGAUGAGUAGGGCGGGACACGUGGUAUCCUGUCUGAAUAUGGGGGGACCAUCCUCCAAGGCUAAAUACUCCUGACUGACCGAUAGUGAACCAGUACCGUGAGGGAAAGGCGAAAAGAACCCCGGCGAGGGGAGUGAAAAAGAACCUGAAACCGUGUACGUACAAGCAGUGGGAGCCCCACCACCAAAGCAUUUGCUGUACCGCGUUGACGGAGCGAAGCGACGUCAAAC
rnacentral:rRNA from 2 species